rnacentral:rRNA from 1 species
AUUGAACGCUGGCGGCAUGCUUUACACAUGCCAGUCGAACGGUAACAGGCCUUCGGGUGCUGACGAGUGGCGAACGGGUGAGUAAUGCAUCGGAACGUGCCCAGAGGUGGGGGAUAACGCAGCGAAAGCUGUGCUAAUACCGCAUGUGAUCUGAGGAUGAAAGCGGGGGACCAGGCAGCAAUGUUUGGCCUCGCGCCUUUGGAGCGGCCGAUGUCAGAUUAGGUAGUUGGUGGGGUAAAGGCCUACCAAGCCGACGAUCUGUAGCUGGUCUGAGAGGACGACCAGCCACACUGGGACUGAGACACGGCCCAGACUCCUACGGGAGGCAGCAGUGGGGAAUUUUGGACAAUGGGCGCAAGCCUGAUCCAGCAAUGCCGCGUGCGGGAAGAAGGCCUUCGGGUUGUAAACCGCUUUUGUACGGAACGAAAAGGCUCUGGCUAAUACCUGGGGCUGAUGACGGUACCGUAAGAAUAAGCACCGGCUAACUACG